rnacentral:rRNA from 1 species
GAAUUACAUGCCCUUCAGUGGGGAAUAGCCCAGGGAAACUUGGAUUAAUACCCCAUGGUAUCGCAAGAUUAAAGAUGGCCGCAAGGCUGUCGCUGAAGGAUUGGUUCGCGCCCUAUCAGCUUGUUGGUGAGGUAACGGCUCACCAAGGCUACGACGGGUACCUGGUCUGAGAGGACGAUCAGGCACACUGGAACUGAGACACGGUCCAGACACCUACGGGUGGCAGCAGUCGAGAAUAAUUCACAAUGGACGAAAGUCUGAUGGUGCAACGCCGCGUGGAGGAUGACGGUCUUCGGAUUGUAAACUCCUGUCAUCCGGGAGUAAGACCUGGCUGUGAAUAGCAGACAGGGUUGAUAGUACCGGAAGAGGAAGGGACGGCUAACUUCGUGCCAGCAGCCGCGGUAAUACGAAGGUCCCGAGCGUUGUUCGGAAUCACUGGGCGUAAAGGGAGCGUAGGCGGCGUGGUAAGUCAGAUGUGAAAUCCCGGGGCUCAACCCCGGAACUGCAUCCGAUACUGCCGUGCUAGAGGAUUGGAGAGGUAGCUGGAAUUCUUGGU